GGGGUUUGCUCCAUCCCAGCUCAUUUCAGGUCUGGAAAGGGGCACGGAGGGAUGUGGGACGGGGCUCUCCCUCUGCUGCCAGCGUGGGAUGUUUGGGAAGCCUCAUCCCGUGUUUUCCCAUCCCGCUGUCACGAUGAAUCGGCAGAGUGGACGCCACGGUGACCUUUGGAUGUUUCCAAAUCAAAGACAACCAGGAGGGGUCAGGAAAGCAAAAAGCAGCUUUGGCCCUGUCACAGCAGGAAUCGCAUUUUUCUCCCUUUGCUGCGAGUUUACGGCAUCUCCCAAAAAUGAGACUUCUGCUCCACUUGGACAAAGACAUUCCUGCCCCGGCUGCACCCGCGGUCAAUGAUUAACUCCGAGUCCCAGCCCCCUCAGCCCAGGAAGUGCAGGAAAUGCCUCUGCUCCGACCUCCAAAAAUGGAAAUCUGGCUUGGGAAGUCCUCACUCACCCCACAACCACCCGGAGAUGCUUUUGGCACCAGGAUGUUCUCUGCUUCCCAAGGAGCUUCUUUCCGGGAUGGGCUCCCUGGAUUUCCAGGGGUUUAAAUCCUCAAGUUACAAAGUCCAGUCUGGCAGUACAAGCUGGGAGCGCGUCGCUGGUCCCUGACCCCACAGCACAUCGGGAUUGUUGGGAUUUACAAGGCACUGCAAGAACACACGGAGACAACAGAAGCCCUGACGGGUUGGGAUCGGUGCUCCAAGAGUCCUGACAAGCACGAGGUGACACCUGAGAUGCCCACACAGACACUGCUGGCUCCACAAGGGACACACAGAGGGCUGGAAAAGGCUCUGGACAAACUCCUCGCUCCAAGAGGAGGCGGAAAAACCCUCAGGAAUUGGGGCCAAGCCAACCAAAAGUGAGGAUGGAACAGCAAAAUUCUGUUUCUCCCUCCGGCAGAUCCGUGUGUGUGUGUGUGUGGGCACACCUGGGGAGCUCAGUGCAGCCUCUGAGGAGCACCCACGGAUAAUAAUGGGGAUUCCCACAGAUUCAGGGGUUUCCAGCCCAAUUUUUGCACCCACACAUCGGGCAAAUCCACCCCCAGCACCCCCAUUCUGCUUCCCAAACGUGAGCCCAGCACAGGACAAGGCACUCCCUGAUCAUCGAAGUAAACAUUUGUGAUUUAAGAGGCUGGUGCAAUCGAAAACCUGAAGGUGGAUUUUGAAGUACCACGGAGUUUUCCCUAAGGGCAGUGAUAGUUUCAUUUCCCAUCUUUAAUUCCUGUUGGUGGGGAGGCAUUUCCUUCCCUACUUUGUCUGAAAAUGAGCAGAAGCAGGUCCCAGCUUUCCACGAAUACCUCGAAGAAUUAACAACUCCCUCAGCUCUGGAGCUUUGGCAGAAUAUCCCUUUCAGCACAUAAGACACUCAUCAGACAGGAAUACAAGGGUUUUUUUUAUGAAAAAGUGCACUUUUUACUGCAAAAAAAAUUAGGGAUUCUGGUGCAAAAGUAACAAAUCCAUCUAGAUCGAGAUGAGUAUUUAUGGUAUCAGCAAAGGGGGGUUUUCUCCAAGUCAAUAAAUUUAGAAAGAGCCUUUGCA
rnacentral:lncRNA from 1 species